UAUACCCCACAGAAAUUUGACUGAGCAAGU
rnacentral:piRNA from 1 species